CUUAGGUAUCUUUAUUUGGGACUUCCUUUUCCUUUUGAGACUAUUUGAAGCAAUAUGUAGCACUGUAAAUCACAAAAACACCUUCUCCAGAAUUAUGUGAAGACUAAAAUCAGUGAUGUGCUGCAAGUCUACAGCUGUAGAUGAUUGCAGAUGAUUGCACCCAUGAGGCAGGUGGAAUGAUUACUAGCUGAUGUAACAAAAACCUGAAUGUAAAAGACUCUGUACUAUGUGGAAAGUGCAGGUAAGGAGGAAGUCUGUACAGGAUCCAACAACAGGACUGAUUCUUGCAUAUUUGCAUCUAGGAGGCACCCUGUUCAACAGCACCCACAUAGACAGCUCUGCUAGUGUCCUUAGUGUGGCCCUGAUAGCAGUUGCUGCCAUGAUAAACAUUGACUAAAGGUAGAUGGACACUCAGAUUAACAGUGAGAUGUAAGGAAAGCAGGAACUUCCUGUAACCUCCCAUCAGGUUGAAUGGUGGGAAACCUGAUGAAGCUGAAGUCAGAUCACCUAGAGAGAAAUAUGUACAUUAAAGGACAGAGGCAUUAGCUGUAGAUAUACGCUGACGUGGCCCAUGUUGCAAAAAUGAUCUUCACAAGCAUCUUGUAUAAAAGUAAACUAAAAGGUAGUGCAAGUAAUCAGGAGGACAGAAUUAAAACUCCUGAAGAUCUUGCAAAUUGAAGAAAUAGUCUGGAAAAACAAAAGUAAGUAUGCUAUUCAACAGAGACAAAUGCAAGGGUUUACAUUUAAAAAUAAAUAUAUAAAUAAACAAAUAAAGGAUGGGAAACAGUUAUGGCAGAUCUUUCAGUAAGACACAAGGGCUGUAAUAAAUUAGAAAAACAUGAAAAAGGAAAACAUCUCUCUGGAAUGUAGAAAUUGUAGCAGAGCUUAAAACCAGAUAAAAUAAUGGCUCUGCUGGGGUAUUCUGACAGGACUGCAUUUCAACUAGCUGGUGGAUCAGCCAGAGAAGGUCUAGAGAAGGAGAGUAGGAACAAUUUAAGGUAUAAAAUCCAAGUCUUCUAGCAAAAGAUUGAAACAUUUAGAACCAUAUGGAAGGCAUAAUAAAAGAUGCAGACACAUUUUUUUUUAAGGUUUUGUCUAUGCCAGUAGUGAAUAAGGUGAGAAAUUAUGAUCUUAAAUUCCAUAAAGAAGAAAGAGUCAGGUUAUACUUUAUGAAAAUCUUCCUAAGAGGGCAGACAAUGAAGCAACACAAUAAGUUGCUUGGAAAACACAUGAAGUCUGCUUCUCAUCAGAAGGAGAUGGCUUAAAUUAUUUUGACAAGAUAACUUCACAUUUAUCAGUAGUCUAUAACUAUGUUCUUCCUUAAACAAUACGUAUAUACUUGCAUGGAAGCAUACAUAAAACAGAUAAAUAGAACACCUCAAAAUUAAAAAUGGAAAACUUGGAAAAUAAAUAUAUUUAAUAUAUUUAAAUAAGUACCAAGCCUUACACUAUCAGAUUUCCAACCUUCAUCUUUUAAGUCAAAGCCACUUAUAAAAAUGGGACCAGGGCAUGGCCAAAAUAAAGAUGUUUUCCAAAUACGAAGCUACCUAAUUGGCAUAUUCACAAUAUUAAAAACUCUGAUAACUUUUAUCUGAUUAGGACACAUUGGUCUUAACCCAUUAAUAAAAUAGUAAAAAUCCCUCCUUUUUAUUUUCAAGAGAAGAAAAAUAACAGAAAUUAUCAAAUGCAAAUAUUCACAGCUUGUACUUAUAUGCCACAAAUUAAGAGUUACUAAUUAUACAGUAGCUGCCAAACUGCUACACUCUUGUGAUUUUUGUAAUGAUAGAUUUGAGGAUCCAACAGGACAGGCUGCAUCAUAAUAUCUGCAAAUGAAAUACCAAUGAAUGUACCAAAAAAUAGUAAAUUAGACAGAAAAUAUUUAUUUAAUUACUUACCCGUUAACUACACAAAAAGAUGCAUCACAAAAUGGAUAUUUAUAAAAUAUGGAUGAACUUGCAGGUUAUAAUCCUGUUAAUAACAAUCCUAAUUUGAGGAACCUUAUUUAACAUUUUUUUGGAAAGCUUCUGUGUCUUACAUAGUAUUUUAAAGUUUAGUUAUCAGCCUUCAAUUGAUAUUCAAUUUAACUUCUGGGUUCUCUUCUGAGGGGUGUUAUAUCCUGGUUCCCUAUUUCUAGACAAAAACUACUUAUCAAUUAUAAGUCUCCUAGGUCUAUUAGCAAUCUCUGGCCUUUCAAAUGCAAUACUCAGAAAUAAAUAUUGUUAAAGCACAGCAUUGUGACUCAAGAGACCAGCGUUUCAUUCCUGUUUUUUUUUAGUCUGUUUUGAAGGCAUCCAUGGACAAACUAUUUCACCUGUCUUUGGCAACCUGCCUCCAUCAUUAAAAACAAGCUGGUGUCCUUUAUUAAGCACUCUGGGUCUUGUUCAACUCUUCUACCCACUGAAGCUUGUCUAAGACACUGCAACUAGUUUUCCCUGAUGACCAGGUGGGCAGCUGGAACACCCUUCAAUGCCAAAAAAUACUUUUUUCAUAACAAAAUAAGAAGGGUGAUUUCAAUCUGAGGCCUAAUUAUUCUGGCAAUACCCCUAUCUCAUGCUCUCCUCCCAGACUACCCAGGGUAUUACAGAACUUGAAUGUGGAUGGUUUUACGUUCUAGUGUGAACACAGCCCAUGUUCAUCCAGGCAUGACAGUAAAUCUGAUGGCUGACUGAGAGAUAACACAGGAUUAUCCUUUGAGGUCUACAGAGGAAAAAAUUAUAGAAGAUUUGGUACUAUCUAUGGGGUUAUCCAUCUAAGUACUGGAACAAAGGGUAUGCUUCUGACUUGCAGAGGGAACAGAAUGUAGCUUGGCUGAAAUCAGGUUUUUCUCCCUUACUCACAAGUAAAAAGAAAGGACAUAAAUGGCAGCUUUUGUUUAUUAAUUAUCUGGUAUCCCAGAGUACUUGUAGCAGGACUCUGAGGCUUCCUUAAAACUCUGUGGCUCAUUGUGUAUAUCCAGAAACCUAAAUAUUCAGGAACCAUCUGAAGCAAUUUCAGCUACAAAGGCUUUCAAUACUCAAAAAACCUUUUUUUGGAUUUCAGUCAUUAAACCUAUUCAUUACCUUCAAAUUCAGCUGAGGCCGGGAUAACAGUCUGGAGCUCAAGCCAGAAAAAUGAAAAAAAAACCCCAAAAAACCAAAAAGCCCUUUAUCAGAGACAAAGUGAUGCAUCAGAAAGAAUUCAGCCUGUGGGUAUGCUCUAUCAUUUGAAGGUACUUCCCUACCUGUCCUGAAAUGAAAAUUUACAGCUGCAGGCUUCUGUUGAACCUUUGUCUGCUCAAUAAAUGUGAAAUAACCACAAUGUUUUGACAGAGUAACUGCCUAUUUUCCAUUUGAGUGUGGAUCUUACCACAGCUGCCCAUGCUCUUGCCACCUUUCCUGCUUUUGUGUUCUACACUCAUUUCCUCAAGGGGAUGGCACAAUACAUUGCAGCUGUCAGACAAUGUAUUCUCCUGGUGACUGCAGUGCUUUGCACAGAACACAAAUUGCACCUGUAUUGCAAAAUCUGC